rnacentral:rRNA from 1 species
GUAGGUGGCAAGCGUUGUCCGGAUUUACUGGGCGUAAAGCGCGCGCAGGCGGCUCACCAAGUCUGAGGUGAAAUCUCCCGGCUUAACCGGGAGGGGUCUUUGGAUACUGGUGGGCUUGAGGGGAGCAGAGGAGAGUGGAAUUCCCGGUGUAGCGGUGACAUGCGUAGAUAUCGGGAGGAACACCAGUGGCGAAGGCGGCUCUCUGGGCUCUGCCUGACGCUGAGGCGCGAAAGCGUGGGGAGCAAACCGGGAUUAGAUACCCGGGUAGUCCACGCUGUAAACGUUGGGCACUAGGUGUGGGAGGUAUUGACCCCCUUCCGUGCCCGCAGCUAACGCGACAAGUGCCCCGCCUGGGGAGUACGGCCGCAAGGCUA